UACGAGGGGCCCGAGCGUUAAUCGGAAUCACUGGGCUUAAAGGGUGCGCAGGCGGAUCGGAAAGCGUCUUGUGAAAGCCCCCGGCUCAACCGGGGAAUAGCGGGGCGAACUCCCGAUCUUGAGGCAGGUAGGGGCAGACGGAACUGUCGGUGGAGCGGUGAAAUGCAUAGAUAUCGACAGGAACGCCAAUGGCGAAGGCAGUCUGCUGGGCCUGUCCUGACGCUCAGGCACGAAAGCGUGGGGAGCAAAC
rnacentral:rRNA from 1 species